AUUGAACGCUGGCGGCAUGCUUUACACAUGCAAGUCGAACGGUAACAGGUUAAGCUGACGAGUGGCGAACGGGUGAGUAAUGCAUCGGAACGUGCCCGGUCGUGGGGGAUAACGCAGCGAAAGCUGCGCUAAUACCGCAUACGAUCUGAGGAUGAAAGCGGGGGACCGUAAGGCCUCGCGCGAUCGGAGCGGCCGAUGUCAGAUUAGGUAGUUGGUGGGGUAAAGGCUCACCAAGCCGACGAUCUGUAGCUGGUCUGAGAGGACGACCAGCCACACUGGGACUGAGACACGGACCAGACUCCUACGGGAGGCAGCAGUGGGGAAUUUUGGACAAUGGGCGCAAGCCUGAUCCAGCAAUGCCGCGUGCAGGGAGAAGGCCUUCGGGUUGUAAACUGCUUUUGUACGGAGCGAAAAGGCUCUCUCUAAUACGGAGGGCUCAUGACGGUACCGUAAGAAUAAGCACCGGCUAACUACGUGCCAGCCGCCGCGGUAA
rnacentral:rRNA from 1 species